rnacentral:rRNA from 1 species
AAUGCAGUCGACGGCUGCACAGGAAACCUUGUUCUCUGGGUGGCGAGUGGGGGAGGUGAGGUGAAUACGUCUGACCCGACUCUGUCAUGGGGGAUACCGUAGGGAAACUUAGCCUAAAACCGCACACCAUCUGAAGGUGAGGGCUCGGAAUCUUCUGGCCUUGCCCGAUGGAAUGUAUCGAUGUCCGAUUAGCUAGUUGGCGGGGUAAAGGCCCACCAGCGCAACAAUGCGUAGCUGGUCUGACAAGAUGAUCAGCCACACUGGAACUGAGACCCGGUCCAGACUCCUACAGGACGCAGCAAUGGGGAAUAUUGGACUAUGGGGGCAAGCCUGAUCCUGCCAUACCGCGAGGGUGAAGAAGGGCUUCGGGUUGUAAAGCCCUUUUGUUGGGAAAGAAAUCCAGCUGGAUUAUACCCGGUUGGGAUGACGGCACCCAAAGAAUAAGCACCGGCUAACUUCGUGACCUCCGUCCCGGUAAUAGCAAGAGUGCAAACGUUACUCGCAAUUACUGGACUUAAAGCGUGCGUAGCUGGUCCAUGUAGUCCCUUGUGUCA